GGCUGGUUAGCUCAGUUGGUUGAGCAUGGUGCUGGUAAUGCCAAGGUCACGGGUCCAAUUCCCGUUCGCACCC
rnacentral:tRNA from 1 species